GGAGAGAAGAGAAGAGGAGGCAAAAUGGCAGUUCUGUGUUUCCUGCUGGAUCUGUUGAGCAUCUCACCUCCAUUGCUCAGAGAUUUAAAGCAGGUAAUAGUAAAAUAUCAUUCAUAAUCGAUUAAAUUUGAUAUUUCUCGAUUGAAUGCUGUUGUUCCAGGCACUGUUGCAGCUUGCCAAUUUCUACGCGAUCUCACCUUGGCGUCAUGAUAGGAUCGGACUCUGCU
rnacentral:lncRNA from 1 species